AGUCCACUUUAGAUGUUAUCAGCAUCGGAAGCGUAUGAUUAGUGGACAUUAUACCUGUAGUAGUAUACGCUAACAUAAAAAAAAGGUGUCUUUAAAAACACGCAGCACCUACCGUUUAGGUGAGUUUCGGGCCACACGUAUCUUCGGCGAACACCACAUUGAUUCUACAGUCCGUCAGUCUCACGCAAAAAUUAACGAAAUUUCCUGAAGAACUCUCGAUUCACAUAGUUCAAACUUCAGACGUCUCCCAUAUCAUCUCCGGAGUCCAGUCUGAGAAGCUCCACGUCGAGUUGUAUUUCCACGUUUAUCUGUUUUCCUCGCGCGCGACUUUCUGGAGGAUUUGCAUGCAAGCGGUGAACAUCCAGAGCAAUAAUGCACCUCUGACACUGCGUGUAUGAGCGGCAGCUCUACUUUUCCACAGUCAGACCAUAAAUCGCCGACUUUGAGCUGUAAAUGAGAGACGUUUAAUCUCAAAAAUAAGUUUAUUAAGCGAAUGCAGAAAUUCCCGCGGCGAGAAGGUCUGAGUGCUCAAGUCGUGCGGUAAGGUAUCUUCAUGAAAGGCGGUGAGGGGACAACAGCCAGUGGGAGUGAAAGAGGGCUGGUUUAGAAGAAGAGGAAUGGACAGAGUGAAAGAAGACAUUAUGGUGGAGGGAAAAAAAGGACGAGGACCAUCUGCUGGCGAAAUUUCCAUCCCACCAAAACCCAUUUCCCCAGAAAGUUUAAAAAGAUGAAAGGAUAAGGAAAAGAAAGGAGACAAAAGAGAGAAGUGUUCUGUUACAACCCUGCCCCUGUGAGACUGUCCGUGAAAGAGUCCGGGGAUGAGAGAGAUGGGGGAGAGAAUAAGAGAAAGAGAGGGGUACAGAAAAGAGGUUUUCAAAUGAGGAACGGGGAACCGGUGUGGAACUUCAUAUUUAACACACACAAACACAGAUAUUUCAACCCCAGGGCGUAUUGGUGAGAUUGAAGGAGUGAGAAUGAGAGAGAGCCACAGGAACAGCGAAUGAUUGAGUGCGAGGAGUCACUGAGGUAUUGAGCGAGAUGACAGGCGAACAAAGGUAGAAAGGGAAAGAAGGGACAAACUCAAACGGAGGUACAAAAGUUCUUUCACACACUCGCACUCUGGCUUAACACACACAUACACGCACAUGCACAGAGAGUUCUGACACCUUAUCUUUAAAGGAUAAAAAUAAAUUUCUACAUAUCAGUUAGGCAAACGGUCUCAAGUAGUAGUGUGAACCUGCAUUACUUGUUUUUGUGAAAGACCUUUUACUACCCUACACCUAUACAGGGCAACUCAUCAAACAAGGACUGCACUGCACGUCACUGACACUGUCAUAGAUGAGAGCUUCUGAUGAAACUGCACGUCUUUCAGAU